rnacentral:rRNA from 1 species
UACGGGGGGGGCAAGCGUUGUUCGGAAUUAUUGGGCGUAAAGAGCUCGUAGGCGGUCUGUCACGUCUGCUGUGAAAACUUGGGGCUUAACCCUGAGCUUGCGGUCGAUACGGGCAUGACUGGAGUUCGGCAGGGGAGACUGGAAUUCCUGGUGUAGCGGUGAAAUGCGCAGAUAUCAGGAGGAACACCGGUGGCGAAGGCGGGUCUCUGGGCCGAUACUGACGCUGAGGAGCGAAAGCGUGGGGAGCGAACAGG